GAUGAGUCAUUUCCAUUCAAUGGUCACCUAAUCUCAAGAAACAAUGAUAACAAUCAUGUGAAGAGAAUUUACUACAUUUCAAAGUCAGUCAAGGAUGUUCUAGAGCUGAAUCUCCUUGUUGGCCAGCAACUUAAGAUAUCUUCAGUUGGCCUUAAGAUGUUUGAGCGACAAACAUCAAGAGAAGGUACAACUGCACCAUGCUCAUUUCGGAUAUCGUCUGAAGGAUUGCCAGUGAUUCUUCCUCACAUCACCAAACAGAUCUUAUAUUCCUCUCCAGUAGACUUCAAGCAUCUUUUGCAGUAUAAAGCUGUCAAAUUCAUGGACUUUGUUGAUGCUGAGUUUGGGGAGAAGGCAUCAAAGCUUAUGAUGGGUUGCUGUGUGAUAGUUUUAAGAGAUGCCAAAACUUUGUCAGAUCCUAUCCAGUUGGAUGCUUCAACAAUAGCCAUUGGCUGCUGGAAGGGUAGG
rnacentral:misc_RNA from 1 species